rnacentral:rRNA from 1 species
GUGGGGAAUUUUGGACAAUGGGCGCAAGCCUGAUCCAGCAAUGCCGCGUGCAGGAAGAAGGCCUUCGGGUUGUAAACUGCUUUUGUACGGAACGAAACGGUCCUGGUUAAUACCCGGGGCUAAUGACGGUACCGUAAGAAUAAGCACCGGCUAACUACGUGCCAGCAGCCGCGGUAAUACGUAGGGUGCAAGCGUUAAUCGGAAUUACUGGGCGUAAAGCGUGCGCAGGCGGUUUUGUAAGACAGACGGGAAAUCCGCGGGCUCAACCUGGGAAUGGCGUUUGUGACUGCAAAGCUGGAGUGCGGCAGAGGGGGAUGGAAUUCCGCGUGUAGCAGUGAAAUGCGUAGAUAUGCGGAGGAACACCGAUGGCGAAGGCAAUCCCCUGGGCCUGCACUGACGCUCAUGCACGAAAGCGUGGGGAGCAAACAGGAUUAGAAACCCUGGUAGUCC